CCUGGACUGUUUCUUUUUGUCUAGCAUUUAUUGACUAUCUUGUGCCAGAUACUUGGAUGAGAAUGUAAAGAUAAAAAUGGCCAAGGUUUUUGCCAAUGAGAAACUUAGGCUGUAUGUGAUUGUACCAAAUACUGGUGACCAAGAAAAGCACCAACUAUUAUAAGACACAAAAUAGUGAGAACUUAAAUGAAAAGGUGAUUGUAAUUCCCAGAAGCUAGUGAGCAAAAGAAUGGAAAGUUACAGAGAGGAGGUAAAAAAGGCAUUCCAAAUGAAAUGAAAAAGUUGGGAGUGGCAGCAUGGAUAUGGUAUAAAGGUCAUAGUGCACUG
rnacentral:lncRNA from 1 species